rnacentral:rRNA from 1 species
AUUGAACGCUGGCGGCAUGCUUUACACAUGCCAGUCGAACGGUAACAGGCCGCAAGGUGCUGACGAGUGGCGAACGGGUGAGUAAUGCAUCGGAACGUGCCCAGUCGUGGGGGAUAACCACUCGAAAGAGUAGCUAAUACCGCAUACGAUCUAUGGAUGAAAGCGGGGGACCGUAAGGCCUCGCGCGAUUGGAGCGGCCGAUGUCAGAUUAGGUAGUUGGUGGGGUAAAGGCUCACCAAGCCAACGAUCUGUAGCUGGUCUGAGAGGACGACCAGCCACACUGGGACUGAGACACGGCCCAGACUCCUACGGGAGGCAGCAGUGGGGAAUUUUGGACAAUGGGCGCAAGCCUGAUCCAGCAAUGCCGCGUGCAGGAAGAAGGCCUUCGGGUUGUAAACUGCUUUUGUACGGAACGAAACGGCUCUGGUUAAUACCCGGGGCUAAUGACGGUACCGUAAGAAUAAGCACCGGCUAACUACGUG